rnacentral:lncRNA from 1 species
GGAAAGGAAAAGGGAAAAAAGAAAAGAAAAGAGAAAAGAGCAGGUCUCUGAGAGACACCAAAUACAACAAAACAAAGUACUAUAAGACAAGGCAAAAACCCCUCAUAACUGGACAAGGCAGCCCAACAGAAUGGAAAGAAUCCCAAGAGCAGACAAAUGAGUCAGCAGCACACCUACCCCCACUGUUGGGAAUCCCACAAGCUAACAGCCACAACGUGUACUUAGAGGCCCUGCACUUGCUACUUCAGGCUCUGUGAGCCCAUGUGAGCCCUGUUUAGUUAAUUCAGCAGCCUGUGUUCCCCUGGCAUCUUCCAUUUCCUCUGACUCCUACAAUCUUUCCUCUGUCUUUUCCAUGGGAUUCCCCACACUCUGAGGGGAGGGACUCGAUGGAGACUUCCAAUUUAGACUUUCUCUUCACAUCAUGUUCAAGUGUGGACCUCUGCAUCUGCUCCCAUAUCUACCUGAGGAAGCUUCUCUGAUGAUGACUGGACAAGGCACCAAUCUAUGAGUGUAGUAAAAUAUCAUUAGGAAUCAUUUUGUUGAUUUUUCCUUUUUUUUUUUUAAUUUAUUGUUUUCUUGUUGGAGCAGUUGUGUUUGGUCCUACCCUGGUCUCUUGGCUCUCCGGUUUCCCAUUUGGGGUCAUUCAAGCAGUGUUGGGAAUGGACUCCCAUGGAGUGGGCUUCAAGUUAAGUCAGAUAUUAGUUGACCACCAUUGUCCCAGCAUAUCUUGUAGGCAGAUUGUAGGUAAAGGUUUUAUGGCUGGGUUGGUGCCCAUGUCUCUCUUUUAGUAACCUGCAGUGUACCUUCCCACACCAAAGAGACUAGAAUGUAGGUGUGAAGGCACCAUGUAGGUACCAGCCUGACCUCUCCAUGUUCAAUGAGCUGUGUGGAUGACCUUGGCAAUGGGGCCCACUGUGACUUUGAGAAGAGCAACCCUCUGUCCUAGUAUCAGCUUGGGUUGUUUGGGGAUCUCCGGAGGACCUCCUUGGCCAACAACUCAAUUGAACGCAACGCAGUCCUGCCACCGGGAGCCUUGCCUGGCUACAAGAGAUUGUCAGUUCAGGCUCUGUAUCCCCUGUUACUAGUAGUCAUUAGUCAGCCUCAUAGAUUCAGGGAGUUUCCACUGCACCAGGUUUCCACACCAUUCCCCCAAAUGCCCUCCAAUUCCCAGCUGCCUCUCCCCACACUCUUCCCACCAUCUCCCUCCAGCACCCGAUUCUUCCCAGUCCCAUCCCCACCGGCUCCCAGUCCACCCACAAAAUCAAUUCUAUUUCUGUUGCUCUAGCCUUGACCUCCCCAAGACAGUCCUUGGGGGUAGGGGGUAAGAGGGUUUGGAAAGAUUCCGGGGUGAGGAGCGGAAAGAGACUUAUUGUAAUAGUGAAAAGUGCCUUUAUACACUCCGUCCACGUCCCCUUGGCCCAUAACUGCUUGUCACACGCAACUGGCACCAGUCAAUUGGUUGUCCUGGUCACACACUCUGUCCUUGUUUCCCAGUGCCAGGCAGGUUCCAGGGUGAGUGCAGAAGUACCUGCUGCGCAUGCGUGGGCCAUGGUUUUGGCAGGUAGGGGAGGGGGCACUAGUCAGAACAAGCUGACUCACUCCCAUGCGUGCCCUCUAGAGCCUUUCUCUUCACCUAACACCUCUGGGUCUAUGGAUUGUACCUCGGGUAUCACUUACGUAACAGCUAAGAUCUACUUAUAAGUAAAUACAUACCAUGUUUGUGUUUCUGGGUCUCGAUUACCUCACUCGGGAUGAUUUUUUUCCUAGUUCCAUCCAUUUGCCUGCAAAUUUCAUAAUGUCAUUUUCUUAAACAACUGAGCAAUACUCUGUUGUGUAGAUGUACCACAUUUUCCUUUUCUGUUCUUCAGUUAAAAGACAUCUAGGUUGUUUCCAGUUUCUGGCUAUUGUGAGUAAAGGUACAUUGAGCAGAGCCGAGCACGUGUCCUUGUGGCAGGGUGGAGUGUAGUUUGGGUAGAUGCCCAAGAGUAGUAGAGCUGGGCUUUGAUUCCUGGGACUUGCUAAUAAGUCAAGGUAGUGGGCAUGACUCAGGCUUGGGGUUUUGAGAACUCAAUAUUUUAAUUAGUCUUCCAGGCACUUUCAUUACAAUAUAAAGUUUGACAAGCUGAGAUUAAGAAUCAUUAGAAUCUAUUUCUGAGCCAGAUGUGGGUCUGCUUUACUUAAGGUGUCUUGAUAAUGGAGGGAAAAUAGACUUGCCUGUGAAGGGAACUGUGACUACACAGUGUGAUGCAGACAGCAACACCCUUAGGGGGUGCUUAGAAUCACCGGAGACUCCUUGAGUCACUCAGGACUCCAAACAUCCCAACUCAACAACUCUACUGGGAAUCUAGUGCAAUACCAUUUAAAUUAUCAGCUUCAUGAAGGCAGAAUCUUAGCCCUGAUCAUACUUGGCAGGAUACCUCAUAUACAGUAGGAACCUCGGGCUUAAUGGCAUGUAUUCCGCUCACAAAUAUAAUUUCCAUUUGGGUGUGAUGGGAAGAAGGGUUGGGAGAUGGAAGAGUCUGGAGAUGUGCCUCUGUCCUAUGCAGAGAGAUAUAUCAUUUUUCUAUUGAAUGGCCAUAUGGUAUCCAGUCCAGAAGCAUUGGAUUUGGAGUCAUGCGACCUGCCUUGGCCCGGGGUCAUAGCUUCUGAACAUUGCUGAGUUUCAGGUUUCUCUCUUCUGAAACAUGAAGAUUAAUGCCUGUCUGGCUGCCUACCUGUUCAAACCACCUACUUCAUGGAGCUGUGUGUGGAGACAGAUGACCCCUGAACAGGUGUGGAGCGCUGCUGUGCACCCCACACACACCUCUGUGCUCCAUCCCCACCUCAGGCUCCUCUGCCCAUCCUCCUAUGAUGCACACGUAUACCUCAAAAGCUGCCGUGUUCUCUACUUCUGCUCAGGCCAUCACACUGACCCUGCCUUUGAACGCUAUCUGUCAACAAUUCUAAGUUAGCUUCAAAAUGCAGCAAGGUACCAGAUGUCCUGCUACAAAUCUCUUCUGCCUAAACUAGUCCACGGGGCAGCCUUAUAGCCAUGGCUCUUGAUGAGCAUGUCUUCGAGCUGUGGCUCAGCUCUUCAGAUAUUUUUCAUACCCACCCUGUUUGUAUCUCAUUAAGAGAUUUCUAAGCUCUAAGUAAAUUAAAGGCCUUGGCUCAUUCUCUAGCAUCUACAGUACUUUGAUACAUUUUUACAUUACUUAACAUGUUCAAUAGUUGCAAGGUUUGUACACAUAGCAUUGUGAUUAUGUUAGUCUACAACCUAUUUUCUCUCCUCUACAAUUAAAAAAAAAAUACCUGCACUGGCACAUAGAUCUAGUCCAUCCAUUUUGACUGUUACAAAAUGCCAUAUUAAGUAAUUUAACAUUGCUAAUGCCAGAGAUAGAUACUAGGUCAUUUCCCUUUUACCAUUAGUACCUGACAUCUCCAGAUGUGUUUUCAUUAAAUUCUGCACCUGCUUCAAGUGGACAGCUAAAUCAUGAAGGAAGACUAUGGUCAAUCUGACUAGCAUGCUUCCCAGUGGUGACAUCACCCUGAGUUCUCCCCAGUCCAGCUCAGGAAUGCCCAAAUUUCACAUCCUUAUCAAUACUUGGCAUUAUGAUAGGUAAAUAUUUUGUUAAUCUGUUGAAAUAAAAAUAACAUGAUUUUGUUUAAUUUUUAUUUCCUUGAUUCCCACUGCAAUUGAGCUAUUCUUUUGUUUCGAUGACCAAUUGUUUGUCUCCUCUGUGAAACUGGUCAUUCUUAAGUCUUACCAUGUCUCUUAAGUUGGUCUCAUGUCCCCUGAUUUGUUUUGAGUUAUUUAUGAAUUCCAAACUCUUUAUUUUUUCAGUCACAUGUGUUUUGUGGACAGCCAAAGCAAUCUUGAACAAGAGGAAAAUACUGCUGGGAGCAUUACUAUGCUAUGCUAGGGAGCCAUAGCAAUGAGAUAGCAUGUUACUGGCACAAAAACAGAUCAGUGGAGCAGACUGGAGGAUCCAGAUAUAAAUUCGAACAGUCUCAGCUAAAGAUUUUGGUUUUGGCAAGGCUAAACCACACUGGAGAAGUGACAAAAUCUUCAGCAAAUAGUGCUAAGAAAACUAUAAAUCAACAUGCUCAAGACUGAAAUAGAUCCUGCACAAAUUCUGCUCCAAAUGGCUUACGGAGCUAAGCAUAAGGACC